rnacentral:lncRNA from 1 species
CCGGCGUACACUUGCCACCCCGCCCGCCGAGGUUCACUACCCUCCCCCACAAGCUGUGGUUCCCCGUGAGGCUGAUAUGAAAUAUUCAGUCAUAGGAGACACUGCAGGACUGGAAAGGCUGCAGCGUGGCACAACCUUCCCGUGGUCCCUCUCUCUGAAAUGGGUUGCAUCAUCUGAUUCUCUGAAAGAGGCCUUCACCAAGGAGGCGGCUGGCUGAGGAAGAUGCUGAGGGUGGCUGUGGCAGUGAGGAUGCGGCAGCCCCGUGGUCUCACAGCAGCUCCACGCAGACACCCUAGGAGGCACCAACCUCUCAGGUGGACUGAAGGCCAGGUGCAUCAA